UAGACAUUUCUCUGUAUAUAUGCCCAGGAGUGGGACUGCUGGAUCACAUGGUAUUUCUGUUUUUAGUUCUUGAGGAACGUCCAUACUGUUUUCCAUAGUGGUUGCACCAAUUUACUUUCCCAGCAACAGUGUGGGAGGGUUCCCUUUUCUCCACACCCUCUCCAGCCUUUACUUGCAGUCUUUUUAAUGAUGGCCAUUCUGACUGGUGUGUGGUCAUACCUCAUUUUUUCUUUGCAUUUGUUUCUUACCUACAAAGGAGCAGACAGAGGGCACUGACCUCCGUUUUCUAACCCACCCAGAGGGGAGGGGACCCUCCCACGCAGCCAGACUCUGUUCAUCUCUUGGAGUGCACCCCCACUCCCGUCCCCAGCUUCUGUGUACUUUUUAUUCUCAACCCCAAACCUGAAAUUCUUCACAAGAGGACUCUCCUCGGGGCUCUGAAGCACUUUGCCCCAUGCUCAAGGGCAGCUGGCAGUACCUGGGAAUGCCUAGAAAAACGGAAGGAGAGAGAAGGUCCCGUCUCUCCCCACGCAGUUGCCGGCCCUGCCAGCAGCCAGCAGGCAGCACGGAGCUGAGCCUGCAGCAGAAGCGGCCGUCUCCCCUUCCGGGCUGACCUGCCUGCGACCCUCCCCAGAGACGUGACAUCCCUCCUGCCAUCAGCCCCUGCAAUGUGACUCACUGCCUCCGGCGCUGACACAGCCUGGUGACAAUUACAGGGUAAGAGCGAUUCCAAACCGUGGAGCUUUCAGACCGGGGCUGUUAUCCUUAUGUAACAUUUCUAUUUCCUUUUGUCCUCGGAGCCUCAGGACUUCGGCUCCUGAUCAGUCAUAGAGUGACUUCUGCUGAAGAGACUGGGGCAGGACAAAGGUUCUGGAUGUCUUUAUUCUCCUCCCUCUCAGCUCUCUUCAUUAAGCUAUCCCCUGUUCUCCACCCAACACCCCUGAGAUGGCUGAUUCCCUAUGACAAAUUGGGAACAAGGAGAGAGAGAGACAGCCACCUUGAUGGAGCCACUGCACAUGCUGGUUUGGCCGUGCUUUCCUCUGGUUUGGGACCAUCUCAGCUUGAAGCGCAACGCCUUCUCCCACCUGCCUUUGCCCUGAUGGGCAGGGACAGGAAAGCCACUGCUAUUCCUUUCAGACAAGGCCCCCAGAGCUGCUGGGAGCCACCUCGCCCCUCCCACUCCUCCAGUUCACGUGGCUUUCUGGCGGGGAGCUGGGCAGGGGGGCCCCAACCCCUAGCCUUCCUUGGGCUGCAGCAGUGACGGACUUAAUCAGAGAGGCGGGCUGCGGCCAUUCAGCCUGAAGGCCACCUGUGUUCCGAAUGUGCAAAUUCAUUCACUCGGGGAAAAGCCGCGAGUCCCAGGGGAGUCAACCGAUUUCACUGCACUGCACAUGGCUUUGGGCAAAUAAGCAAUCUUAUUUCCUCUUCCCUACCCCCUUAAAAACAUCAAUGAAGUGUUUUGUGGUGUUGCUGACAGCACAUGUCACUUCGAGGCUGGAAAUAAAAUCUUUGAGCUAUUUAUAACCA
rnacentral:lncRNA from 1 species